UAAGGACAGCAGGAUUUUUAAACACCUCUGGAAUCAAUUUUUAUAGCAUUUCUUUCUCUUACUUGUGUUAAUGACCUCGACAAUUACCUUUCUGUAUGUCCAUAGCAAUAGGUUAAUGGUGUUCUAUAACUGAUGCGAUUUUAAAACACCUCUGGAACCAAUUUUUUAAUGUCUUCUCUCCUUCUCUUGUGCUAAUAACCUAGACAAUUAGGUUGGUAUUAUACGACACACUCACAGCCAUUUCUAAAGGUCAAAGAGGGGGUCAGUUGGGUUCUAAUGAGUGUUUCCUCAGGUUCACGGUACAGAAGAAGGUUCAAACUACCACCAGGGUCACAAAACUACUCCUGGAAAUGCCCACAACUCCUACGAAAGCCUUGUCAAAUAGGUAACUGCAACUAGAAAUGCCCACAACUCCUACGAAAGCCUUGUCAAAUACGUAACUACAACUAGAAAUGCCCACAACUCCUACGAAAGCCUUGUCAAAUACGUAACUGCAACUAGAAAUGCCCACAACUCCUACGAAAGCCUUGUCAAAUAGGUAACUGCAACUAGAAAUGCCCACAACUCCUACGAAAGCCUUGUCAAAUAGGUAACUGCAACUAGAAAUGCCCACAACUCCUAUGAAAGCCUUGUCAAAUAGGUAACUGCAACUAGAAAUGCCCACAACUCCUACAAAAGCCUUGUCAAAUACGUAACUACUACUAGAAAUGCCCACAACUCCUAUGAAAGCCUUGUCAAAUACAUAACUACUACUAGAAAUGCCCACAACUCCUACGAAAGCCUUGUCAAAUACGUAACUGCAACUAGAAAUGCCCACAACUCCUACGAAAGCCUUGUCAAAUACGUAACUGCAACUAGAAAUGCCCACAACUCCUACGAAAGCCUUGUCAAAUAUGUAACUACUACUAGAAAUGCCCACAACUCCUACGAAAGCCUUGUCAAAUAUGUAACUGCAACUAGAAAUGCCCACAUCUCCUACGAAAGCCUUGUCAAAUACGUAACUGCAACUAGAAAUGCCCACAUCUCCUACGAAAGCCUUGUCAAAUAGGUAACUGCAACUAGAAAUGCCCACAACUCCUACGAAAGCCUUGUCAAAUACGUAACUGCAACUAGAAAUGCCCACAACUCCUAUGAAAGCCUUGUCAAAUAUGUAACUCCUACUAGAAAUGCCCACAACUCCUACGAAAGCCUUGUCAAAUAGGUGUUCUUGAGUGACGAAAUGUUUUACAAUAUGACCUUUACUUUCUGUACUUUGAUAACAAUAAAUUAAAGACGUACUACAACUGAUGCGAUUUUUAAACACCCCUGGAAUGAAUUUUCUUGAUCAUUUAUUUCUUUACCUUGUGCUAAUAAGCUAG